AGUGUUGUUGGGUAGGGGAGCGUUCUGUAAGCCUGCGAAGGUGUACUGUGAGGUAUGCUGGAGGUAUCAGAAGUGCGAAUGCUGACAUAAGUAACGAUAAUGCGGGUGAAAAACCCGCACGCCGGAAGACCAAGGGUUCCUGUCCAACGUUAAUCGGGGCAGGGUGAGUCGACCCCUAAGGCGAGGCUGAAAAGCGUAGUCGAUGGGAAACGGGUUAAUAUUCCCGUACUGGUGGUAACUGCGAUGGGGGAACGGAGAAGGCUAGGUUGUCCGGGCGACGGUCGUCCCGGUUCAAGCAGGUAGGCAGAGUGAUUAGGCAAAUCCGGUCACUUAAUGCUGAGAUGUGAUGACGAACCACCAAGGUGGUGAAGCAAUUGAUGCCCCGCUUCCAGGAAAAGCCUCUAAGCUUCAGGUUACCAACAAUCGUACCCCAAACCGACACAGGUGGUCAGGUAGAGAAUACUCAGGCGCUUGAGAGAACUCGGGUGAAGGAACUAGGCAAAAUGGUGCCGUAACUUCGGGAGAAGGCACGCUGGCGGUAGGUAAAGUCCCU
rnacentral:rRNA from 1 species